rnacentral:rRNA from 1 species
CAAAACGACUCUCGGCAACGGAUAUCUCGGCUCUCGCAUCGAUGAAGAACGUACCGAAAUGCGAUACUUGGUGUGAAAUGCAGAAUCCCGUGAACCAUCGAGUCUUUGAACGCAAGUUGCGCCCGAAGCCAUUCGGCCAAGGGCACGUCUGCCUGGGCGUCACGCA